CAUAUUUGUAUAAAUUUCAAGAAGUUGUUUGUUAGAUGGAUAACGCUCAAGAUGAGGAAGACAUAUUUGGUGCUUUGCCAGACGCCUCUUGAUGCUUGAAGUUCAUUCCUUGUCGCAGUCUUAUGGAAUAGAAAUGGUCCAAGUGGAAGUUUUGAACUUUGUUGUUUUACUGUUUUUAAAUGUUGAACUUUGAAUUUAAGUACUUUAUCUUGUUUUAAACUUUUGUAUUUCUUGUGUACUUGUUAGAACAGUUAGUUUUAAA